UAGGGAAUCUUCGGCAAUGGGGGGAACCCUGACCGAGCAACGCCGCGUGAGUGAAGAAGGUUUUCGGAUCGUAAAGCUCUGUUGUUAAGGAAGAACGAGUGUGAGAAUGGAAAGUUCAUGCUGUGACGGUACUUAACCAGAAAGGGACGGCUAACUACGUGCCAGCAGCCGCGGUAAUACGUAGGUCCCGAGCGUUGUCCGGAUUUAUUGGGCGUAAAGCGAGCGCAGGCGGUUAGAAAAGUCUGAAGUGAAAGCCCACGGCUCAACCGUGGAGGGUCAUUGGAAACUGGAAAACUUGAGUGCAGAAGAGGAAAGUGGAAUUCCAUGUGUAGCGGUGAAAUGCGCAGAGAUAUGGAGGAACACCAGUGGCGAAGGCGACUUUCUGGUCUGUAACUGACGCUGAUGUGCGAAAGCGUGGGGAUCAAACAGG
rnacentral:rRNA from 1 species